GCCUACAGUCACUACAGUGUCAGUGUGCACUGUGCAAGUGGAACUUUUCCUUUCAAGGUCAAGAAGGACUCUAUUUCAGGACCAUGUUUCGAAGUUGAGGUGUAUUUUUGUGAUUUGCAACCUUAUGAGAAGGGACGCAAAAUAUUGGUUGGUUAAUACUUGAGUGCUGAUGACGAUGAUUCAGAAUUGUCCAAUUACCUGAAUUUGGACUGUCGACAGAAGGGUGGUGAAUGAAUUCAGAAUAGUCCUCAUGAACUUGGCCUGGACAGUCUUGCCUGCAAACCAUGGAAAUUCAUCUAGGACUGUCGGCUUUAAUUAUGACCUGGCCACUUACGCACCAUCUGCUGUCACAAUGUCGAGAUUCAAUGGUCACUUAUCAUCAAAAGACUAUGAAAGUUUGCAAAGGCCUAGUCUGUUGCUGCUGAUGCCAGACCAGAGUCUACUGCGUUACACACACAAGACUCCACUCUGCUUCUGUAUAUGCCAGAUAAAAGUCUGCGGACGAAACAUGCCAGAGACCCUGGUAUGCUGCUGAAGAUUUGUUUUUGUUUGUACGUUGUUUUUACGCUGCAUGGAGCUGAAGAGCAAAGUCUUCUGCUUCAAAGAGCGGAGAUCCAACAGACUGAAGACCCAAGUCUGCAGCUGCAAACACAGCUGAACACUAAAAACGAUCAGGUUCUACCAAUCGUCUUGAUUGACAUUAUGUAGACUGGACCUCAGUAAUUGCAGAAACUAAAUCUGUUCUGGUGGUUGGCAAAUAAACUAAAGUUUCGAGUGGAAAGUCUGUUUACUUCACGAAGUCGCUCAAAUCUCUAGCAGAGAGAGAGAGAUUUCUGAAGCUAUUAGUGCUGUCGAUACUCAUUAUAACCUAGUUCUGUUUCAUUGAUUAUUAACAUGAAGAACCAAUUAACCCGUUCAUUAGGAAUGAAUGGCUCGAAGAAUAGUAGGUGAUGGCUUGGGAAAUUUAAUAACAAUAAAAAUGUAACAGUUAGAAUCUUUGUCAUUCCUCCUUAUUAAUGAGGUUGUGGGCAGUCCUGACUUGAAUGUCUUCAAUAUGUUUGGGGAUUGAAUAAAGUUUUAAAUAUGACUACUGCUUCCCCCAGUUUUCUAAGAAAUAAUUUCACCAGAUAGAGAAAAUUGCCUCUACUUGAGUUUUAUCAACACGUUUUCAUUAUCUGGAGUCUCUCAAAUGUCACAGCAACUAACCAAUGUCAAAGGUAUAGUAUUUUAUAGAAAAAAAAAAACACUGAACAGUGUAGUUAAGUACUUAAGGUUUUUAGUGUACCUAUCAAAUUCAAUACAGUAGUGGAACACACUCAAACGCAAUGAAAUUCAAACUGUAGUGGAACACUAAAAAUGCACAUUAGUUAAUACUGACCAAAUAAAACGUGACACACACUCAUAACAGUAAAUACUCUCAAUUGCACUGAAGCUAAUGGACAAAAAUAAGAACACCUCUAUUACCUAUAGCACUGAAGUUAAUAGACCAAAUAAAACGUGGCCUACCCCUCUCUCUCAACUGAAGCUAAUAUUGACCAAAUAGAGACCUCCUACAUUUCUCUCUAUUGCUCUGAAGUUAAUAUAUUCUCUCUCUCUCUCUCUCUCUCUCUCUCU